rnacentral:rRNA from 1 species
AUUGAACGCUGGCGGAAUGCUUUACACAUGCAAGUCGAGCGGCAGCACGGGGGCAACCAUGGUGGCGAGCGGCGAACGGGUGAGUAAUACAUCGGAACAUGCCUAGUCGUGGGGGAUAACAUUUCGAAAGAAGUGCUAAUACCGCAUACGUCCUGAGGGAGAAAGCGAGGGAUCUUCGGACCUCGCGCGAUUGGAGUGGCCUAUGUCAGAUUAGCUAGUUGGUGGGGUAAAGGCCUACCAAGGCAACGAUCUGUAGCUGGUCGGAGAGGAUGAUCAGGCACACUUGGACUGAGACACGGCCCAGACUCCUACGGGAGGCAGCAGUGGGGAAUUUUGGACAAUGGGGGCAACCCUGAUCCAGCCAUUCCGCGUGAGUGAAGAAGGCCUUCGGGUUGUAAAGCUCUUUCGGCAGGAACGAAACGGCGAGCUCUAACAUAGCUUGCUACUGACGGUACCUGAAGAAGAAGCACCGGCUAACUACGUGCCAGCCGCCGCCGUAACAC